GCGGGUAUAGUUUAGUGGUAAAACCCUAGCCUUCCAAGCUAGUGAUGCGGGUUCGAUUCCCGCUACCCGCU
rnacentral:tRNA from 1 species